ACCCUACUUAGUAUGGUGGUUAUGACACUCAGCUUGUAAUCGAGUAGGUUCGGGUUCAAAUCCCGAAUAAGGCA
rnacentral:tRNA from 1 species